rnacentral:rRNA from 1 species
UACGUAGGGGGCUAGCGUUGUCCGGAAUCAUUGGGCGUAAAGAGCGUGUAGGCGGCUCGGUAAGUCCGCUGUAAAAGUCAAAGGCUCAACCUUUGAAUGUCAGUGGAUACUGCCGGGCUAGAGUCCGGAAGAGGCGAGUGGAACUCCUGGUGUAGCGGUGGAAUGCGCAGAUAUCAGGAAGAACACCAACGGCGAAGGCAGCUCGCUGGGACGGUACUGACGCUGAGACGCGAAAGCCAGGGGAGCGAACGGG